UGAGGAAUUUUGAGGAAGAUGUGUUGUUUCCUUCCCCAGCGGAGUAAUUUGUCCCUUCUCCUGGUAACAGAGAUGUCUCUUCAGCAAUUAAAAGAGAAUACUUGAUUUAUGUAUACCUGGUUGGUGGUUGAUCCCCACAGAGUCUCACAUCUUCCCCUGAUAAGAUCCCCAGGGGAGUUCCUCUAUGUUAGAUCUUAUUGAUAUCUCUGCAUGUUCCCCGGCUGAGACUUUGCCUAUCCCCUGUGGUUGACAGUUUU
rnacentral:lncRNA from 1 species